ACCACACGUAAGUUCGCAAGCAUGAGCUGAGGCCGCUCGCGCUGCUUUACUUGUAAAUUAUUGCGCUGCUGGCCUCAUAUUUUUGACGGAGAGCUGGUUGCCGGUGAUUUCUAGAUUCUACAUUUGCAAAUCACAGCCUUCACCACCGCAAUGACGGGGCACGGACACCACUGCCACCACGGUCCACCCCCACCGCCGCAUCACCACUGUCCCCACUGCCCGCAUCACGGCCCACCACCUCAUCACCAGCACCAUCACGGCCCACCACCCCAUCACCACCACCAUCACCACGGACCGCCACAUCACCACCAUGGACCACCGCCGCCACCACCACAUCAUGAUCACCACCACCACCAUGGACCACCACCACCGCCGCUGCAUCAUCACCACGGACCACCUCACCACCAUCACUGAGCUUUCCCUAACCUUGCCUAGUGGAUACUAAAUGCAAAUUUUCAUUCCUUCUAUCUAUACUCCCUGAAAUGUAGGUUAUGUUUCAUAAAAAAACCUAAUAGUAGGUGUUGUUAAUCACACUCUAGAAAAAUGUAUCUGACAAUUCUGUGUAAGAUUAUGUAAUUACUGGAUCUUAAGGAAAAGCAUAAAGGGAACUUUUUGUAAUGCUAUUUCAUUUCUAAAAAUAUUGUGUCAGCAUAAUUGAAAAAAGUGCUAAAACAAACAAUCACCCAAAAUUUGCUGUAAAACCAAUGCAGAUAACAACUAACAUUUUCAAUAUGUAAUUUGUAAAUAAACUGCUCUUCACAGUGGUUCACAAAUAUCGCUUGCAUAUACUAAGUGUUUAUAAUCAUCAAGAUUCUUACUGAAAUAUGAUCCUUGUGCAUUUGUACCAAUUAAAUUUGUACAUACCAGCUUAACAUAAAAGAUUGCUACAGUGUGUAUAGCACCCAAGUCAUAUUACCUCCUGCAAUCAACAACAAUGAAAAUGUCAAGUUUUUGAUAAAGUAAUUGAGAUCAUGUUCCAGCUUAUAUAAUACUGUACAUGGUAUAUGAUGGUGUACAAUCAAUGAUAAUGUCUUGUAUGUGACUACAUGCCACAAUGAAUUAAAUUAAUAAUGAAAAUACAACGAAUAAUUAAAAAAAAAUACAUAUGUCUGAAAUGAAUGACACUUCACAAAGACUACAUCUGAUUCCUCCUUACUUUUUUUUAUAACACUGUAUUAAAACAUUUGGAAUUUGAUUUGUCAAAAAGAAAUAAGAAGAAAAGCUUAUACCAAUAUGGAACUGGGAACGCUCAGUGUGUGUUUUGAUACAUCUAGGACACAUUGUUCAUGACUAGAUUAGAUUAGAUUAGAUUAGAUUAGAUUAAUACUAGUUCCAUGGAUCAUGAAUACGAAGGAGUUGUCAUUUAGAAAUUCUUUUAAUUUCUUCUUAAAUACUUGUUGGUUAUCUGUCAGACUUUUGAUACUAUUUGGUAAGUGACCAAAGACUUUAGUGCCAGUAUAAUUCACCCCUUUCUGUGCCAAAGUUAGAUUUAAUCUUGAAUAGUGAAGAUCAUCCUUUCUCCUAGAAUUGUAAUUAUGCACACUGCUAUUACUUUUGAAUUGGGUUUGGUUGUUAAUAACAAAUUUCAUAAGAGAGUAUAUAUACUGAGAAGCUACUGUGAAUAUCCCUAGAUCCUUAAAUAAAUGUCUGCAGGAUGAUCUUGGGUGGACUCCAGCUAUUAUUCUGAUUACACACUUUUGUGCAAUAAAUACUUUAUUCCUCAGUGAUGAAUUACCCCAAAAUAUGAUGCCAUAUGAAAGCAUUUCUAAUGAAGAACUAUAAUGGGACACCCUCAAGUUCCUAUUUUUCGGGUUUACUUAUACAGUUUCACUUUCUUUAUGUCGUAUGGCAUAAUUUUUAAUUUCAUAUUCUUAAGUUUAUCAUCUUAUUCUUGUUAGCCAAAGCCAUUAUGUGUAAAACACACAAGGGAGCAGCAAAACAAUGAGUUUCAAAGUCAACUGUUUUGUUGCCUCAUUUUCAUAAUGGUUAGUGUUGAAGAGGCAGUUGUUUAUGUGAUGUGACCAAGUGGAGGUGUAGUGGCACUUUGUGUGCUAUUGCUGUUCCGUAAGAGCAAAACGUGAUUAAUAUUAAGGUGAUUUUGGGGUUUUAAAAUGAUCAGUAGAUCAAUUGAAAAUGCAAAUAGCAGUAGCAGUCAGUGUGGUAAUGACAAUUAUGUCAGUCAGAAUGAAAACUGAAAGAAAAAAUGGAAAGAAUGAGCUCAUUUUGUAAUGAAUGGUUAGAAGAUAAACACUUUAAAAGUUGGUUAGCUAAAGGGGAUGGUGAAGGGACAGCAAACUGUAAAAAGUAAGGGUAUUGAGGCCAUGAGAAAGUUUUUGUUAUGAAAGAAACAUAAAAGUUCUGUAGAAUUAGUGUUCAAAAGUAAAUUGAUUGCAAUAUUUUUUUGUGUAAAACAUUCUUCUACUGACAAUGAAGUUUCUACAGCCAAACUGCACUUGUAUAUCAUGGGGUUGUGCAUAACUGUAGUUAUCUUGCUACUGAUUGUGAAAUUAAGCUUGGAAGUACAAUUUCAAAUUUAAGUCCAAAACUUUAUUGUGGGUGUUCAAAAUGCAAGAUGCUGGUGCAAAGGUAUUGGCUCUACAUUUGGUAGAAGUAAUAGAAAAGGAAUUAAAAGGUGGCACAUUUUUUUUCUGGUUCAGCAGACGCCUCCAAUAAAGGUAAUUUCCUGUAUCAAUAAAAUAUUUUUCUGGGAUAUCUGGUAUGAAGGAGAUUGCUAAGCUUCUAUGAGUAUAGCAACAAUACAGCUGAUUCAGAAAACUUAAGUUAAUUUUAGAUGAUCACAGUUUUGAAGUUUCUAAUAUAUCAAGUUUUGGUGCAAACAGUGCAGCAGUGAACUAUGGAAAAUACCACUCAUUUUUUCCAAAAUUUUGAACUGAAGCUAACUGUAACUGCAAUGUUAUUCAUAAUACAGACAAAAACUCAUGCAAAAUGAUUAAAUUCAACAUUGAGAGAAUAGUAUUGAAUGUCUGCAAUGAGUUCUCAUCUUCUAGUAAGAAAAUACAUAAGCUAAAAAAAAGUUGGAGUUUGUUGAAUGAGGAUAUUAAACUUUGUAACAACAUAUUCCUGUACAGUGGUUGUUCUUGUUGCUGAUUGUUCGAACAUUUACUAAGACGUUGGACAGAUAUUCAAUGGUACUUUCUCUCUCAAGAGGAAGAAAAGGCCAAUCAUGUGAAUGGUGUGAACAAUGAAGAUGAAUGGUCACAUCUCUUUUUCCAUAUGUAGUUUAUAGAUAACUAUAUGAGUUUUGCUAUAUGAACAAUUUUACAACAUGAAAAUCAGAAAAUGCAGCUAGAGAUCUUGUAUGUAAAAUAUGGUUUUCUAGGUUUUAAUGUGGAUCAAAACUUAAAGAGCUUGAGCAUAUCAGACAAAGACAAAUUUAUGAAAUAUGCUGCCAGUGUUCAUCACAGAAGCCUAAACUAAGUGGUUUCUUUACAGAUCUCACCUUUUAAGGAAUUCACUGUCCUGAGCGAAUGAGAUGACCUUUGACAACCACAGAUAUUGUAAAUGGUCACUGUAUAAAAGUCAAUAAUGACAGAUUGUACAAUGAAUUUGUGGCAUUAAGAACUUCCGAUUUACCAAUAGACAAAAAAUAGGUUCAUUCCUUUAGCAGAACUCCAGCCCCGAACUUAUUAAAGAUAGUGAAAUUUGUGUUGUCUAUUCCACUGAGCAAUGCACACAUAGAAUGAGCAUUUUCUCUGAUGAGAAACUUUUUGUGGACUGAUUAGUGAAAACUGAACUUCUUGUUGAAAUAAACUAUAAUAUGAGCUACUCAGAGUGCUAUCAGCAUAUUCUACAUGAGAAGAAACUUGUAAAGGCUGCUACAUCAGACGAUAAGUACGUCUAUAAUCUACAGCUCCAGACUCACUGAUUUUCAUAAAUGUAUACGGUAAACACUAUUAACUUUUAAACAUUUUAAGUUUCAGAUAUGGUAUGUGUAAACUUGUUUUGUAAAUAAAACCACCUCUUCCUGCUGCCA